AGGGAAUCUUCCACAAUGGACGCAAGUCUGAUGGAGCAACGCCGCGUGAGUGAAGAAGGUUUUCGGACCGUAAAGCUCUGUUGUUGGUGAAGAAGGAUAGAGGUAGUAACUGGCCUUUAUUUGACGGUAAUCAACCAGAAAGUCACGGCUAACUACGUGCCAGCAGCCGCGGUAAUACGUAGGUGGCAAGCGUUGUCCGGAUUUAUUGGGCGUAAAGCGAGCGCAGGCGGAAGAAUAAGUCUGAUGUGAAAGCCCUCGGCUUAACCGAGGAAUUGCAUCGGAAACUGUUUUCUUGAGUGCAGAAGAGGAGAGUAGAACUCCAUGUGUAGCGGUGGAAUGCGUAGAUAUAUGGAAGAAUACCAGUGGCGAAGGCGGCUCUCUGGUCUGCAACUGACGCUGAGGCUCGAAAGCAUGGGUAGCGAACAGGAUUAGAUAC
rnacentral:rRNA from 1 species